rnacentral:rRNA from 1 species
GGGUUGUGAGGUUAAGCGACUAAGCGUACACGGUGGAUGCCCUGGCAGUCAGAGGCGAUGAAGGACGUGCUAAUCUGCGAUAAGCGUCGGUAAGGUGAUAUGAACCGUUAUAACCGGCGAUUUCCGAAUGGGGAAACCCAGUGUGAUUCGUCACACUAUCAUUAACUGAAUCCAUAGGUUAAUGAGGCGAACCGGGGGAACUGAAACAUCUAAGUACCCCGAGGAAAAGAAAUCAACCGAGAUUCCCCCAGUAGCGGCGAGCGAACGGGGAGCAGCCCAGAGCCUGAAUCAGUGUGUGUGUUAGUGGAAGCGUCUGGAAAGGCGCGCGAUACAGGGUGACAGCCCCGUACACAAAAAUGCACAUGCUGUGAGCUCGAUGAGUAGGGCGGGACACGUGGUAUCCUGUCUGAAUAUGGGGGGACCAUCCUCCAAGGCUAAAUACUCCUGACUGACCGAUAGUGAACCAGUACCGUGAGGGAAAGGCGAAAAGAACCCCGGCGAGGGGAGUGAAAAAGAACCUGAAACCGUGUACGUACAAGCAGUGGGAGCCUCUUUAUGGGGUGACUGCGUACCUUUUGUAUAAUGGGUCAGCGACUUAUAUUCUGUAGCAAGGUUAACCGAAUAGGGGAGCCGAAGGGAAACCGAGUCUUAACUGGGCGUUAAGUUGCAGGGUAUAGACCCGAAACCCGGUGAUCUAGCCAUGGGCAGGUUGAAGGUUGGGUAACACUAACUGGAGGACCGAACCGACUAAUGUUGAAAAAUUAGCGGAUGACUUGUGGCUGGGGGUGAAAGGCCAAUCAAACCGGGAGAUAGCUGGUUCUCCCCGAAAGCUAUUUAGGUAGCGCCUCGUGAAUUCAUCUCCGGGGGUAGAGCACUGUUUCGGCAAGGGGGUCAUCCCGACUUACCAACCCGAUGCAAACUGCGAAUACCGGAGAAUGUUAUCACGGGAGACACACGGCGGGUGCUAACGUCCGUCGUGAAGAGGGAAACAACCCAGACCGCCAGCUAAGGUCCCAAAGUCAUGGUUAAGUGGGAAACGAUGUGGGAAGGCCCAGACAGCCAGGAUGUUGGCUUAGAAGCAGCCAUCAUUUAAAGAAAGCGUAAUAGCUCACUGGUCGAGUCGGCCUGCGCGGAAGAUGUAACGGGGCUAAACCAUGCACCGAAGCUGCGGCAGCGACACUAUGUGUUGUUGGGUAGGGGAGCGUUCUGUAAGCCUGCGAAGGUGUACUGUGAGGUAUGCUGGAGGUAUCAGAAGUGCGAAUGCUGACAUAAGUAACGAUAAAGCGGGUGAAAAGCCCGCUCGCCGGAAGACCAAGGGUUCCUGUCCAACGUUAAUCGGGGCAGGGUGAGUCGACCCCUAAGGCGAGGCCGAAAGGCGUAGUCGAUGGGAAACAGGUUAAUAUUCCUGUACUUGGUGUUACUGCGAAGGGGGGACGGAGAAGGCUAUGUUGGCCGGGCGACGGUUGUCCCGGUUUAAGCGUGUAGGCUGGUUUUCCAGGCAAAUCCGGAAAAUCAAGGCUGAGGCGUGAUGACGAGGCACUACGGUGCUGAAGCAACAAAUGCCCUGCUUCCAGGAAAAGCCUCUAAGCAUCAGGUAACAUCAAAUCGUACCCCAAACCGACACAGGUGGUCAGGUAGAGAAUACCAAGGCGCUUGAGAGAACUCGGGUGAAGGAACUAGGCAAAAUGGUGCCGUAACUUCGGGAGAAGGCACGCUGAUAUGUAGGUGAAGUCCCUCGCGGAUGGAGCUGAAAUCAGUCGAAGAUACCAGCUGGCUGCAACUGUUUAUUAAAAACACAGCACUGUGCAAACACGAAAGUGGACGUAUACGGUGUGACGCCUGCCCGGUGCCGGAAGGUUAAUUGAUGGGGUUAGCGCAAGCGAAGCUCUUGAUCGAAGCCCCGGUAAACGGCGGCCGUAACUAUAACGGUCCUAAGGUAGCGAAAUUCCUUGUCGGGUAAGUUCCGACCUGCACGAAUGGCGUAAUGAUGGCCAGGCUGUCUCCACCCGAGACUCAGUGAAAUUGAACUCGCUGUGAAGAUGCAGUGUACCCGCGGCAAGACGGAAAGACCCCGUGAACCUUUACUAUAGCUUGACACUGAACAUUGAGCCUUGAUGUGUAGGAUAGGUGGGAGGCUUUGAAGUGUGGACGCCAGUCUGCAUGGAGCCGACCUUGAAAUACCACCCUUUAAUGUUUGAUGUUCUAACGUUGGCCCCUAAUCGGGGUUGCGGACAGUGUCUGGUGGGUAGUUUGACUGGGGCGGUCUCCUCCUAAAGAGUAACGGAGGAGCACGAAGGUUGGCUAAUCCUGGUCGGACAUCAGGAGGUUAGUGCAAUGGCAUAAGCCAGCUUGACUGCGAGCGUGACGGCGCGAGCAGGUGCGAAAGCAGGUCAUAGUGAUCCGGUGGUUCUGAAUGGAAGGGCCAUCGCUCAACGGAUAAAAGGUACUCCGGGGAUAACAGGCUGAUACCGCCCAAGAGUUCAUAUCGACGGCGGUGUUUGGCACCUCGAUGUCGGCUCAUCACAUCCUGGGGCUGAAGUAGGUCCCAAGGGUAUGGCUGUUCGCCAUUUAAAGUGGUACGCGAGCUGGGUUUAGAACGUCGUGAGACAGUUCGGUCCCUAUCUGCCGUGGGCGCUGGAGAACUGAGGGGGGCUGCUCCUAGUACGAGAGGACCGGAGUGGACGCAUCACUGGUGUUCGGGUUGUCAUGCCAAUGGCACUGCCCGGUAGCUAAAUGCGGAAGAGAUAAGUGCUGAAAGCAUCUAAGCACGAAACUUGCCCCGAGAUGAGUUCUCCCUGACUCCCUGAGAGUCCUGAAGGAACGUUGAAGACGACGACGUUGAUAGGCCGGGUGUGUAAGCGCAGCGAUGCGUUGAGCUAACCGGUACUAAUGAACCGUGAGGCUUAACCUUACAACGCCGAAG